rnacentral:rRNA from 1 species
UACGGAGGGUGCGAGCGUUGUCCGGAAUCACUGGGCGUAAAGGGCGCGUAGGCGGCGCGGAUAGUCGGCGGUGAAAGCCCGGAGCUCAACUCCGGGUCGGCCGUCGAUACUUCCGGGCUUGAGCACUGUAGAGGCAGAUGGAAUUCCGGGUGUAGCGGUGGAAUGCGUAGAGAUGUGGAGGAACACCGAUGGCGAAGGCAGCCCCCUGGGUCAAGAUUGACGCUCAUGCACGAAAGCGUGGGGAGCAAACAGG